CGCGGUUGCUAAGGGGAGUGUUUGAAACCUGAAACAAAACUGCAAUAAGUUCAGUUGAAAAAGUUUGUGCAAGUGGUUGCUUAGGCUAAGUUGCGUUAAACAGUUUUCUGUACAGGGGCACUACCAGACACAGUGUAAAGUAGCCACAUCUCAGCUUGGUAGAUAAACAUCACUUAGCAAAGUGCGACUAAACCGAAAGCUAGCGUCACAAACGUUUCUACUUUCAUAUCUGCCGUCACUCCUCGCUACUGUACUGGUGGUACUGUAUCCCCGGGAGUUGCAGGAAAGAAAGAAGAUGAGUGAGAUGGAACCCCAACCCACAACUGCCCCCUCCUCCCCCUCUCUCCCCCUCCACCCCUCCUCCCCUCCUCCAUCCCCCUCUCUCCAAAACCACGCUGUGUCCUGCUCCCCUGUGAUUCGUUCGUUGCCCUCCUCGCCCCGCCCGGUGUGGGAGGAGUCUCGUGAGGUCACAGCGCGUCUUUACUCCUCCCUUCAAAGAAGCACAGAACUGCACAGCAGAGGCCAUGCCCCCAAACACCACGCCCACAUCAGGCAGGUUCCCUUGCUGAUGUCCUCCCAGCUGCACAGUACUGCACUCCCCCUGCCUCCCCCCUGCCUCCCCCCUGAAGGGGAGAAGGAGAGAGGGGAGGAGGAGAGAGGGAUGGAGAGAG